rnacentral:rRNA from 1 species
CCCCUUGGGGUGACUGCGGAGGGACAUUA